ACUUUCUUCAAAUAACCGAGGGUGUCUGCAAUAACAAAACUUGCUUGUUUAGCAUUUAUACAGGUAAUAUGAUGAUGGAGGUUUUGUGCAAGGCAGAGUGAAACAAUUCCUUGUUGAAUGUGGAGUGAAGUAAUUUCAUGCUAAGGUAUCAAAGGGGUGUUUUCUGUUUAUACAGAAUAUCUAGAUACAUUAGCUUAUCUUCAGCUCCGGUAAAGUCACCUACGAGUAUUGUAACACAGUCAUGUCUUACCAAUUUUACCUGUGAUUCAAACUUUAGUAACAAUUUGUUGACAAGGAAAUCAGCCCCUUGGACCACUUUGACUUUGUCGAGAACCAAGAAUUACUGUAAAAUGGCUGAUAAUAGAUAUGUUAUUGGAUACGCAAAGCUCGGCACGUCUGGUUGUAAGGGCUGUAAGACGAAGAUUGAAAAGGGUUCUUUGAGGAUUGGGAAAGUGACCGCCAAUCCGUUUGGUGGGGAUGGAGACAUGAAGCAGUGGUAUCACCCUAGCUGUAUCUUCAACACUUUCAAGCGAGCCCGCGCUACGACCAAGAAAAUAGAAGAACCUGAUGACAUGGAAGGAUUUUCAGAAAUUCAACAGGAAGAUAAAGAUAUGAUCAACAAGCUAAUAAAAGAAAACCUUGGAAAUUCUAAAACACCAAGCAAGAAAACUCCAAAGGCUGUGACUCCCAAAAAGGUUGUUGCCUCUCCAGCUGCUGCCAAGUUUACCCCAGCUAAAUCUUACAAUGAUGAUGAGGAAGAUGCUGUUGUGCCCUCAACAUCCUCCAAGAUGCCGGAUGAUAAUGGGGAGCGAGAUGAUGCAUUCCGUGAAUUCCGACGUCUAUCUGCUGAAAUUGCUGAUGAGAGUAGUUACAACUCCAAGACUGCUCUGGUCUCAAAAUACCUCACCAAAGGAACGACUGGAGAGGGCUACACAGGUAACACCUAUCUACUUCUGAAGCUGCUACUGCCAGGAGUUGUGAAACGAGUAUACAACCUGAACAACAAGCAACUUGUCAAAUUAUUUAGUCAGAUCUUUGGAACCAGUCUGCAGGCAAUGGUGGCUGAUCUUGAUCAGGGAGAUGUUGCCGAGACGGUGAAGAUAUUUUUUGAACAGAGUAAAAGUUUGAUGCCCGCAAAGAAAAGUGCACUGACAUUACAACAGGUGGACUAUUUACUCGAGGAACUCUCGCUUGUAACAAAGGAAGAUGACCAGCAGAGGAUUCUCACAAAAAUAGCAAAACGAUGUACACUAAACGACCUGAAGAUGGUCAUACGGCUGGUAAAACAUGACUUGAGGAUCAACGCUGGAGCUAAACACAUUCUUGAAGGUUUAGACCCCAAUGCCUACGCAGCGUUCCAGGCCUCGAGGGAUCUCCAGGAUGUUGUUGACCGGGUCCGCCAAAACUUAGAGGAGGGAGGUGGUAAACCUGGGAUGGCCAAGAAACUGAGUGUCAGGGCUAAUCUCAUGACUCCAGUUCUACCGAUGCUUGCUGAAGCGUGUAGAUCUGUUGAGUUUGCCAUGAAGAGAUGUCCCAAAGGUUUCUAUGCAGAGAUUAAGUAUGACGGUGAAAGGGUACAGCUACACAAGAAAGGACCAAAGUUCUCUUACUUCAGCCGGAGUCUUAAACCUGUACAACCACAUAAGGUGGAGCACUUUAAGGAAUACAUUCCGAAGGCUUUCCCUUCGGCGGACGACCUCAUUCUGGACGCAGAGGUGUUACUAGUGGAUACAAACACAGGAAAGCCCCUCCCCUUUGGUACACUAGGAGUCCACAAGAAAGCUCAGUUCAAUGAUGCCAAAGUGUGCUUGUUUGUGUUUGACUGUCUUCACAUUAACGGGGAGAACAUCAUGGACAAGCCAGUAAAGACUAGAAGAAGAAUCCUGCAUGAAAAUAUGACGGAGAUUGAACAUCGUAUCAUGUUCUCAGAGAUGCAGCAUAUCAGGGAGCCAGAUGACCUACAGGACUUGAUGAACGAUGUGUUUAGACAGGGGUUGGAGGGACUUGUUCUCAAGGACAUUAAUGGGAUCUAUGAGCCAGGGAAGAGACAUUGGUUGAAGAUAAAGAAGGACUACCUGGAACAGGGCACAAUGGCUGACUCUGCUGACCUGGUGGUAUUAGGGGCCUACUUUGGAUCGGGAAACAAAGGUGGGAUCAUGUCAGUUUUCCUGUUUGGAGUUCAUGACCCUGAUACUGACCAGUGGUGUACAGUCACCAAGUGUCACAGCGGACUGGACGACAAGACCCUGGACGAACUCCAGACUAAGAUGGAUAUGAUCAAAAUAAGUAAGGAUGCAAGUAAGAUUCCUGACUGGUUGAACAUAAAAAAGCAAGUGAUUCCUGACUUUGUGAUCCGUAACCCAAAGAAGGCACCAGUAUGGGAGAUAGCUGGAGCCGAGUUUACUCAGGCCGAGAUCCAUACUGCAGAUGGCAUCAGCAUUCGGUUUCCCCGUAUCACUAAGUUUCGUGACGAUAAAAGCUGGAAGGAGGCUACGAAUCUCCCAAGGCUAAAGGAACUGUUUAAGAAAUCCAAGGAGACAACAGACCUGUUUCCCAGCCCUAAAAAAGGCAAGACUGCUGUCAAACGGAAAGGGAGCCAGGACAGUAAUGAUGACAACAGCAAUGGUAAUAGUAAUGGCCACUCAGAACACAGGGGGUCAGCACCUUCUACACCCUCCAAAGGUCGGGGGUCGUCACCUGUAACCCCCUCCAAGACCACGCCCAGUAAGAUGGGGAGUCUGACAGGCUGGGUCAAAAGGGGUGAAAAAAGGUCAAGGUCAGAAGAUAGUGAUGAAGCCUCAUCACCAAAGAAAAAAGUAUCGCAAAGUUCUCCUUCAAAGAAAAUGGAUGAGGAAUCGCCAAGGAAGAAGUCCUCUAAUAAACCUGUGUGUAAAUAUGGAAGUGACUGUUACCAAACUAACCCUGCCCACAUAGAGCAGUUUUACCACCCAACAGACAACAAGCUACCCAAACCAGGGGAGAAAUUACCAAAUGUGUUUUCUGGAACAAAAAUAUUCUUGCCUGAAGACACAGACAAAUACAGGCUGCUGAAGCGAUACAUCAUCGGAUUUGAUGGAGAUCUUGUGGACGACUUUCAGAAGAAAACAGCAACCCAUGUUAUUGUUAAACCAGGGGAGGUGGUGUCGACCACAGGUGUAUGUGUCACGGUGGAGUGGCUGUGGAGCAGCAUCAAAAAGAAGGUGAAGGUGCCCCUGCAGAAUUUCCGUGUCACAUGAUCAAGUUCUUAUGUGAUCAAUUGUUUGUGAGACGUGAUAUGAUAAAGUUUUAAUAUUGACUGGGCAUCCACAGAAUGAUAUUGCAAACAGUGAACACGAAUCAUUCUCAGAUUAAGACAUUUUAUCCUGGAUGUAAAUCCUGACUUUGUACGAACAUCCUGUACACGUAGGAAACUUCCUUUUGUAUUAACCAGUUUGUAUAUGAAUGUGAACAGAUACUAGAUUUGUUCAUACCUUACUUAAACCCGGGUACCCUACGACUGUUACCGUAGUCGUAGCGUUAUUCUGGAGCUGUGUGUAUAAUGUAUGGGAGAUGAUGAUAAGUAUGGGAUGUGCUACUCAGAGAAAAUUGAAGUGUUAUGGAAGUAAUUGUUUAAGGGUUAUUACAGUACCUAUACUGACAGAUUACCCUUUUACUAGAUGGUUUUGCUAACUCAGGGAAAACAAUUCUAUGUUGUAACUUAAUAUCAUGUAUAAAGAUGAAAAAACAAAUUCAAGUCACAACCAAUUUUUAAUAUACUUUUAGUUAAACAUUAUUUUUUGGCAACAAGCUGAUUUUUUAUUUUUGAUGCACGCUUUAUUGAUCAUAGACAUGAAUAUAUAUAAGAUGUUGUGUCUGGAAAGUCAAUAUUUCAACUAUUACAGCUUACGGUAAUUUAAUUUAUACAUAUAUGAUCAUUGUCAUUAAUACAUUAUACACUUAUUUGUGUGAAAAUCUGUGUGACUACCCAUGAUUUGUGAUGAAUUUGGAAUUUGAGGUUUUGCAUGCAAACAUGUGUACUUUUACAUAAUUUAUGGUCAUUAGUGAUUACAAGAAUCAUUUUGUGUCUGGCAGCUAUGAAAUGAACCGGUUGAUAAUCAAAUCACUAAAUAGGAAAGUUACCUGCUCAUUGCCAUUGUAAAAUCAUUUUACAUUUUAUUAUCAAACAACUUGACAGCCAUUUUACUAAGAUGGUUCACAAGUUAUUUGAUAAACGUCAUAAUGAUAGCUGUAUUGUUUCCUCUUUGAAGCUUCAUACAAACGUCUGCAGGUUUAACCUUACAUCGGCUACUCUAGGCGCAGUUCAUACUGUUGUACAAAAUGUAUUCAUUUGGUUCUGCACAUGCAAGAACAUGUCUUUGCAUGCAGGUAUCGUUUAGAAAUAUUGUCAUAGUAAAAGGACUCAAUUUAAAAGAAAAAAUGGUUGUGAGAAUGUUAUCAAACUUUACAUGGGUCACACACAUUUCAGAUAUUUAGCAAACCAACCAUCAAUUAAACAACUUGUUUAUGGUAAUUUUUUAAUGUAUUUGUUAGAAUGAUAAAACACCUAGCAGAUACAUAAAAAUAAGCUUUGAAAAAUAUUGCAAUUUCAUUUCUGUAUUGCAAUACAAAACAAUAUGCCUGUGUAAAGUGAUAUGUAUUGUGACAGACUUUAUACAUAAAGACCAGGUUUGGUGGCCUGUGUAAAGUGAUAUGUAAUGUGACAGACUUUAUACAUAAAGAUCAGGUUUGGUGGCCUGUGUAAAGUGAUAUGUAUUGUGACAGACUUUAUACAUAAAGUCCAGGUUUGUUGGCCUGUGUAAAGUGAUAUGUAUUGUGCCAGGCUUUAUACAUAAAGACCAGGUUUGGUGGUCUGUGUAAAGUGAUAUGUAUUGUGACAGCCUUUAUACAUAAAGACCAGGUUUGGUGGCCUGUGUAGGG
rnacentral:misc_RNA from 1 species